UGGGGAAUAUUGGACAAUGGGCGAAAGCCUGAUCCAGCCAUGCCGCGUGUGUGAAGAAGGCCUUUUGGUUGUAAAGCACUUUAAGCGAGGAGGAGGCUACUUAGAUUAAUACUCUAGGAUAGUGGACGUUACUCGCAGAAUAAGCACCGGCUAACUCUGUGCCAGCAGCCGCGGUAAUACAGAGGGUGCGAGCGUUAAUCGGAUUUACUGGGCGUAAAGCGUGCGUAGGCGGCUUUUUAAGUCGGAUGUGAAAGCACUGAGCUUAACUUAGGAAUUGCAUUCGAUACUGGGAAGCUAGAGUAUGGGAGAGGAUGGUAGAAUUCCAGGUGUAGCGGUGAAAUGCGUAGAGAUCUGGAGGAAUACCGAUGGCGAAGGCAGCCAUCUGGCCUAAUACUGACGCUGAGGUACGAAAGCAUGGGGAGCAAACAGG
rnacentral:rRNA from 1 species